rnacentral:rRNA from 1 species
UAAGACGAACCGUGCGAACGUUGUUCGGAUUCACUGGGCUUAAAGGGCGCGUAGGCGGGUGACCAAGUCCGGGGUGAAAUCCUCCAGCUUAACUGGAGAAUAGCCCUGGAUACUGGUUGUCUUGAGGGAGGUAGGGGCAUGUGGAACUUCCGGUGGAGCGGUGAAAUGCGUAGAUAUCGGAAGGAACGCCGGUGGCGAAAGCGACGUGCUGGACCUCUUCUGACGCUGAGGCGCGAAAGCCAGGGGAGCAAACGGGAUUAGAUACCCCGGUAGUCCUGGCCCUAAACGAUGGGUACUAGAUUGUAGACUUAACAUGGGUUUACAGUCGAAGCAAAAGUGUUAAGUACCCCGCCUGGGGAGUAUGGUCGCAAGGCUG